AACGAACGCUGGCGGCAUGCCUAACACAUGCAAGUCGAACGAGACCUUCCUGCCUUGGGGCGCACGGGGGGUUACGGCGGGGGAACUUGCCCUUAGGUACGGAAUCAUUCCCUUAAGGGGGUCUUAAGACCGGUGAGGGUAUUAGCGCAAAGGAUUUAUGGCCGUUGGGUGGGCCCGCGUUGGUUUAGGUGGUUGGUAGUGUAAAAGCCGACCAUGGGCACGAUCCAGGGCUGGUCGGGGAGGAUGAUCAGCCACACUUGGACUGAGACACGGCCCAGACUCCUACGGGAGGCAGCGGUGGGGAAUAUUGGACAAUGGGCGAAAGUCUGAUCCAGCAAUGUCGCGUGAGUGGUGCAGGCCUUAGGAUUGUAAAGCUCUUUUACCCGAGAUGAUAAUGACAGUACCGGGAGAAUAAGCUCCGGCUAACUCCGUG
rnacentral:rRNA from 1 species